GACGAACGCUGGCGGCAGGCUUAACACAUGCAAGUCGAACGGAAAGGCCCUGCUUGCUGGGUACUCGAGUGGCGAACGGGUGAGUAACAGGUGGGUGAUCUGCCCUGCACUUCGGGAUAAGGCUGGGCAACUGGGUCUAUACCCGGAUAGGGCCCACUUUUAGUGUGUUGGUUGGAAGGUUUUUUGGGUGUAGGGUGAGCUCGCGGCCUAUCAGCUUGUUGGUGCGGUAAUGGCCUACCAAGGCGGCGACGGGUAGCCGGCCAGCGAGGGUGGACGGCUACACUGGGACCGAGAGACGGCCCAGACUCCGACGGGAGGCAGCAGUGGGGAAGAUUGCACAAUGGGCGCAAGCCUGAUGCAGCGACGCCGCGUGUGGGAUGACGGCCUUCGGGUUGUAAACUCCUUUCGCUAGGGACGAAGCUUUUUGUGACGGUACCUAGAUAAGAAGCACCGGCUAACUACGUG
rnacentral:rRNA from 1 species